AGUAACCUGCCUUGGAGUGGGGAAUAACAGUUGGAAACAGCAGCUAAUACCGCAUAAUAUGUCUGUGUCGCAUGGCACUGGGCAUCAAAGAUUUAUCGCUCUGAGAUGGACUCGCGUCUGAUUAGCUAGUUGGCGGGGUAACGGCCCACCAAGGCGACGAUCAGUAGCCGGACUGAGAGGUUGGCCGGCCACAUUGGGACUGAGACACGGCCCAGACUCCUACGGGAGGCAGCAG
rnacentral:rRNA from 1 species